AUACGGAGGGUGCAAGCGUUAAUCGGAAUUACUGGGCGUAAAGCGUACGUAGGCGGUCCGUUAAGUUAGAUGUGAAAGCCCCGGGCUUAACCUGGGAACUGCAUUUAAAACUGGCGGACUAGAGUUGAGUAGAGGGGAGUGGAAUUUCAGGUGUAGCGGUGAAAUGCGUAGAGAUCUGAAGGAACACCAGUGGCGAAGGCGACUCCCUGGACUCGAACUGACGCUGAGGUACGAAAGCGCGGGUAGCAAACGGGAUUAGAAACCCUAGUAGUCC
rnacentral:rRNA from 1 species